UGGGGGAUAUUGCACAAUGGGCGAAAGCCUGAUGCAGCGACGCCGCGUGGGGGAUGAAGGCUUUCGGGUUGUAAACCUCUUUCGCUAUCGAACAAGGCCCGCUUAGGGUGGGUUGAGGGUAGGUGGAGAAGAAGCGCCGGCUAACUACGUGCCAGCAGCCGCGGUAAUACGUAGGGCGCGAGCGUUGUCCGGAAUUAUUGGGCGUAAAGGGCUUGUAGGCGGCUUGUUGCGCCUGCUGUGAAAACGCGGGGCUUAACUUCGCGCGUGCAGUGGGUACGGGAAGGCUGGAGUGUGGGAGGGGUGACUGGAAUUCCAGGUGUAGCGGUGGAAUGCGCAGAUAUCUGGAGGAACACCGAUGGCGAAGGCAGGUCACUGGGCCAUUACUGACGCUGAGGAGCGAAAGCAUGGGUAGCGAACAGG
rnacentral:rRNA from 1 species